rnacentral:rRNA from 1 species
AGAAUCAACGCUGGCGGCGUGCCUAACACAUGCAAGUCGCACGAGAAAGGGUAGCAAUACCUGAGUACAGUGGCGCACGGGUGAGUAACACGUGAAUUAUCUACCUCCGAGUGGGGAAUAACUGAGAGAAAUCUUAGCUAAUACCGCAUAACACUUACGAGUCAAAGCAGCAAUGCGCUUGGAGAGGAGUUCGCGGCCGAUUAGUUAGUUGGCGGGGUAAUGGCCCACCAAGACGAUGAUCGGUA